UACGUAGGGUGCAAGCGUUGUCCGGAUUUAUUGGGUUUAAAGGGUGCGUAGGCGGCCCUGUAAGUCAGUGGUGAAAUACUCCAGCUUAACUGGAGGGGUGCCAUUGAUACUGCAGGGCUUGAGUUAAGUUGAAGUUGGCGGAAUUGACGGUGUAGCGGUGAAAUGCUUAGAUAUCGUCAAGAACACCGAUAGUGAAGACAGCUAACUAAACUUUUACUGACGCUGAGGCACGAAAGUGUGGGGACCAAACAGG
rnacentral:rRNA from 1 species